AAGAUACCAUCAACCACACUGAACCCUUAUUUCAUAAUGAAUGACUCCAUAUUACUAUGGAAGACACCAUGUUGGGAUUAGUAACAAGAAAACAUUCUCCAAAAUGCAAGCAUAAACCAGAAAGGACAGACCACUGGUAAUUAUCGAACUUGAAACCACUGCAGAAACACUCACAAGAAAAUCCUGCAGUAUUUAAUCGUUAACCUAACACUAGCGCAUUUCAGGAAAGAUUUAAAGAAAAAGAAGGAACUCGGCAAAUAACAACCCCGCCUGUUUACCAAAAACAUCGCCUCUUGCCUUCCUAUAAGAGGUCUAGCCUGCCCAGUGAAUUUUUAACGGCCGCGGUAUCCUAACCGCGCGAAGGUAGCAUAAUCACUUGUUCUUUAAAUGAGGACUUGUAUCAACGGCAUCACGAGGGUUUUACUGUCUCCUUUUUCUAAUCAGUGAAAUUGAUCUUCCCGUGAAGAAGCGGGAAUUUAUACAUAUAAGACGAGAAGACCCCAUGGAGCUUCAAACCUAACAACAACUUAACCUUAAAAUCCCUAAUAGUUAUAAAACAAUGCUGUAAGGUUUUGGGUUGGGGUGACCGCGGAGUAAAACACAACCUCCACGACGAAAAGGCCACAAUCUUUAUUUAAGAAUAACAAUUCUAGAAAUUAGUACACUAACGCUCUCUGAUCCGACAAUCGAUCAACGGACCAAGUUACCCUGGGGAUAACAGCGCAAUCUACUUCAAGAGCCCAUAUCGACAAGUAGGCUUACGACCUCGAUGUUGGAUCAGGAUAUCCCAGUGGUGCAGCCGCUACUAAAGGUUCGUUUGUUCAACGAUUAAAAUCCUACGUGAUCUGAU
rnacentral:rRNA from 1 species